rnacentral:misc_RNA from 1 species
AAGUCGUAACAAGGUUUCCGUAGGUGAACCUGCGGAAGGAUCAUUAACAGUAUAAAGACACGCUUCGGCGUGGCCUUUUAACCUGACCACACCUGUGUUGUUGUAUUAGUUACUGGCGAGUUGGUGGAGGAUGUUUGUGGAGUGGUGGUAAACAAGUUUUAUUGCUGCUUUACAACUCUACUACUUUACACUAGACCGCCUUUACGGUUGGUUUGGUGCGGCUCGCCAGCAUUUUCUUAAACAUAACCAUUGUAAACGUUGACUGAAACUUUUUAGUUUUACGAGCAUGCAACACUGUGUGCUUGUUUAACGCGUAUAAUCUUAUACAACUGUUAGCAACGGAUCACUUGGUUCUC